CUGACAUCAAAGAAGGAAGAAGUGAGACCCAGACAACUUCAAGGCAUCUCUCAGAUUUAUAUUCUACUUCACUCCCUGGAGCCCUUUUAUAGACUACAAAAGGCAAAGAAAUGGAGCUGUCUGAUCAAGUACGCUAUUUCUGAUGCUCCUCAGAGUCACGUAUCUUCAAUACAGCCAGAAAAGAAGAAAAAAAGAAUCACACAUACGCCUACUUAGAUAUACUCAUUCUCCUUUUUAUCAUGUUCGUAGCUAUUUCUAUUGUCUGUCUGCAAAGAAGCUAACUGCAAUGAGGUUCUUGUUUUAAAACAGAAGGAAUCCAAGAGCUGGCAUUGUUACAACUGCUGGUAGCAAAAACAAUGACACUCAAAGUAUUUUGGCUUUGGAAGUCGUCCUUGUGCAUUAAGCAACAUGUCCCUGAGAGAAUCAAAUCACAAUAUGUCACUGCAAACCUUUGUUUUAUUAAACCACCUUAGUGGGAAAAAAAUGAAUAAAACUAUUCAACUGUUUGAGGAGGAAAAAAAAGAUGUAGACAUUACAAGAACAAUCUAUUUCUA
rnacentral:lncRNA from 1 species